GGGCUGGGUAGUACUGGGGGUACCUCAAUUCUGCCACUCUUGUGUCUGGCGCAUGGAUGUAGUUCCCCUUAGAUGGAUGGACAACAGGCUGUCCUCCUCCUUGGUAGUAGGGAAGAUCUCUCUCUUUGUAGAUCACUCGCGGCCCUGUUAAAUAUUCCAGUGGCUCUGCAGGUCCACGUCUUUCAACAGAUGCAAAAUGGCUUCUGUAUGCU
rnacentral:lncRNA from 1 species